rnacentral:rRNA from 1 species
AAUUUUGGACAAUGGGGGAAACCCUGAUCCAGCCAUCCCGCGAGUAUGAUGAAGGCAUUCGGGUUGUAAAGUACUUUUGGCAGAGAAGAAAAGGUAUCCCCUACUACGGGAUACUUCUGCAGGUAUCUGCAGAAUAAGCACCGUCUCACUACGUGCCAUCAGCGGCGGUAAUACGUAGGAUGCAAGCGUUAAUAGGAACUACUGGGCGUAAAGCGUGUGUAGGCGGUUCGGAAAGAAAGAUAUGAAAUCCCAGGGCUCAACCUUGGAACUGCAUUUGUAACUGCCGAGCUAGAGUAUGUCAGAGGGGGGUAGAAUUCCACGUGUAGCAGUGAAAUGCGUAGAUAUGUGGAGGAAUACCGAUGGCGAAGGCAGCCCCCUGGGAUAAUACUGACGCUCAGACACGAAAGCGUGGGGAGCAAACAGG